GACAAUAUGCAAACAAGCCCAAUCGACAUAAAAUAAAAUAAUAUAAAAUAAAAUAACAUAAAAUCAACACAAAAUAAAAUCAAAUUGGCUGGAUUGGCUGAGCUGGUUGGACCCUGUAGCGACCAUAGACUCGAGUGAUGGCUGAUCUAGCACUGGUGUCCACACCAACUCUUUCUGGAUGGAAAGAAGUCGACCUCGACGAAAAUGGCUCGGUGUAGCUCCGGUAGUACUCCAACAAGUCCGGGUCAAUCUGCUGUAGCUCCUCGCGCGAGAUCCAAGUAUAGCUAGACUUUGGUCAUCCUCGUCAACAAACCAAAAAAUGCUUGAU
rnacentral:lncRNA from 1 species